GACGAACGCUGGCGGCGUGCUUAACACAUGCAAGUCGAACGAUGAAGCCCAGCUUGCUGGGUGGAUUAGUGACGAACGGGUGAGUAACACGUGGGCAACCUGCCCCAAACUCUGGGAUAACUCCUCGAAAGAGGUGCUAAUACCGGAUACGAACUAGACAGACAUCUGUACUAGUUGGAAAGUUUUUCGGUGUGAGAUGGGCCCGCGGCCUAUCAGCUUGUUGGUGAGGUAACGGCUCACCAAGUAUACGACGGGUAACCGGCCUGAGAGGGCGACCGGUCACACUGGGACUGAGACACGGCCCAGACUCCUACGGGAGGCAGCAGUGGGGAAUAUUGCGCAAUGGGCGAAAGCCUGACGCAGCGACGCCGCGUGAGGGAUGAAGGUCUUCGGAUCGUAAACCUCUUUCAGUAGGGACGAAGCGAAAGUGACGGUACCUAAAGAAGAAGCACCGGCUAACUACGUGCCAGCCGCCGCUGUAA
rnacentral:rRNA from 1 species